rnacentral:sRNA from 1 species
AAAACAAUUUGGGGAAAAACUUUAUUAGGGUCGCACUCGCAUAUUCUUCUUCUUCCUUGCGACUUUUUUUUUUUCUUUGGUGUGAACCCUGCAACUCUAUUACUCGAACAUCAAAUUCGAUUUUCUUUGAUUCUUCUUCUUAUUCUUCGUCUUGUGGUGGUGCUUCGUCGUGUGGUGGUGCUUGGAAUCUUGGUUUGAUCGAAUCUGAAACGUAAAUUGGUUGGAGUCUCAUAAUUUCCACAAAGAUGUCGUAAGUGUUUGUUAUUGAUUUUGUAUUAAUUUUAUCUUGUUCGGAAUUGUAUGUAUUUGUUUGGAUUAGUUGAUAUUUGAGAGUGAUAAGUAGAUGUUUGACGAUGAUGUUGAUAUGUUUUACAAAUAUAGUGACGGUGAUGUCGAGUACAAUGGGGGUAACGAAUCAGAGAGUGAAGAGCGGAUUGAAGAAGAAAUUGUUAGAAGGAAGAAGAAUACGAAGAAGAAUAAGAAAGAGAAGAAGAAAAAGGAUGAAGAAGAUCCUCUUGAGCGUUUUGACUUUGAAGUAGAUGAUGGAGUAGCAAAUUUCGAAGACGAGAUACCGAUAGGCCGAGAUAUAAUUCCCGAGAGCUCAGAUGAAGACGAGGAUCCUAUUUUGGUGAGGGAUAGAAGAAUCAGAAGGGCUAUGGGUGAUAAGUUUGUGAUUGGAAGUACAUUCUUCACAGGGAUUGAGUUCAAAGAAGCUAUUUUAGAGGUGACAUUAAAGCACGGGCAUAAUGUUGUUCAAGAUAGAUGGGAAAAGGAGAAGAUUUCAUUCAAGUGUGGUAUGAGCGGGAAAUGUAAAUGGAGAGUGUAUUGUUCAUAUGAUCCAGAUAGGCAACUGUUUGUGGUUAAGACAUCAUGCACGUGGCAUAGUUGCUCACCUAAUGGGAAAUGUCAGAUCUUGAAGAGUCCUGUAAUUGCUAGGUUGUUUUUGGACAAGCUGAGGCUAAAUGAAAAGUUUAUGCCUAUGGAUAUUCAGGAAUAUAUCAAAGAGCGUUGGAAAAUGGUGUCUACAAUCCCACAAUGCCAAAGAGGUAGACUUCUUGCCCUCAAAAUGCUUAAAAAGGAGUAUGAGGAACAAUUUGCUCAUAUCCGGGGAUAUGUUGAAGAAAUUCAUUCUCAAAACCCAGGGUCUGUUGCCUUCAUUGAUACAUAUCGAAAUGAAAAAGGUGAAGAUGUGUUCAAUAGGUUUUAUGUAUGUUUUAAUAUACUUAGAACACAAUGGGCUGGAUCUUGUAGACCUAUUAUAGGACUAGAUGGUACAUUUUUGAAAGUUGUUGUGAAAGGAGUUCUAUUGACUGCAGUUGGUCACGAUCCAAACAAUCAAAUCUAUCCAAUUGCUUGGGCUGUGGUACAAUCUGAGAAUGCCGAGAACUGGUUGUGGUUUGUCCAGCAAAUAAAAAAGGACUUGAACCUAGAGGAUGGCAGUCGGUUUGUCAUUCUAUCAGAUCGCUCAAAGGUAAGAAUCUCAUCUCAUUCCCUUUGUAUAUUGGUAUGUAACGAAGUUCUCAUUAUGUUUUUCAAAUUGUUUAACAGGGUCUUCUGAGUGCUGUUAAACAAGAAUUGCCAAAUGCUGAACAUAGAAUGUGUGUGAAGCAUAUUGUAGAGAAUCUAAAGAAGAACCAUGCCAAGAAGGAUAUGCUAAAGACAUUAGUCUGGAAAUUGGCUUGGAGUUACAAUGAGAAGGAGUAUGGGAAGAAUCUCAAUAACUUGAGAUGCUAUGAUGAAGCAUUGUACAAUGAUGUCUUGAAUGAGGAACCACAUACUUGGUCAAGGUGUUUCUAUAAGCUCGGUAGUUGUUGUGAGGAUGUUGACAACAAUGCUACCGAGUCAUUCAACUCAACCAUCACCAAAGCAAGAGCGAAGUCAUUAAUUCCAAUGCUAGAAACAAUAAGGAGGCAAGGAAUGACUCGGAUUGUUAAGAGGAACAAGAAAUCAUUGCGCCAUGAAGGUAGAUUUACUAAAUAUGCUUUAAAGAUGCUUGCAUUAGAGAAGACAGAUGCAGAUAGAAGUAAGGUAUAUCGUUGCACACAUGGCGUUUUUGAGGUAUAUAUAGAUGGGAAUGGUCAUAGAGUGGAUAUACCAAAAACACAAUGUUCAUGUGGGAAGUGGCAAAUAAGUGGUAUACCUUGUGAGCAUG